rnacentral:rRNA from 1 species
CGGACGUGAGGGAACCUGCCUUGGAGUGGGGAAGUAACAGCUGGAAACAGCUGCUAAUACCGCAUAAUAUAUCUGGGGCCGCAUGGCUCUGGAUACCAAAGAUUUAUCGCUCUGAGAUGGACUCGCGUCUGAUUAGCUGGUUGGCGGGGUAACGGCCCACCAAGGCGACGAUCAGUAGCCGGACUGAGAGGUUGGCCGGCCACAUUGGGACUGAGACACGGCCCAGACUCCUACGGAAGGCAGCAG